GGGCGGGUAGUCUAGAGCGGAAAGCGGGAAACUUGGUAUGAUACCGGGUUUGGGACCCGGUGACCUUCCGUGUUGUGCGUGGGGCCGGUAGUCCUGGGUUCAAAUCCCAGCCCGCCCA
rnacentral:tRNA from 1 species